CAGACGAGACCAAAAUUGAACUAUUUGGCCUAAACUCUACUCGUCAUGUGUGGAGGAAGAAAAAUGCUGCC